AGUCUUGUUGUUCUUGCUUUGCCGAGUUUCAAGGUCUCAUACGAAUUCAUUUGCUCUUUAACAAUCAUGCAUAUCUUGCAUAUAUAUCAAUAUGUUGGAGAUACAAUAAAGUUGGUUAUAAAUAUGUAUAGUGGAACUCGAAGUAAGAAGAUUUAAACAAACAUGUAAUUUUAGUUGUUUUAGGUAACGUUCACUUUACUUGUUUGGCGUUAACGGUUAUUACGUUUCCGGCUAUCUCUUCACGUUUGCAUCGCUCACCUAAAUUUUAGCGGCUUUAACGGAACCGUUUUUGGUCAGUCUCUUGUCCUUAUCUUAUUCCCCUUUUAAUUGCCUCUUUUAAACCCUCUUUCUUCUUCAGAGUGUUUCUUUAUCUAUUAGCCAUCAAUCAUUGGUUUUUUUGUUCUAGUUAAAAAAUUCAUCAUUUUCAUGACUCUUAUGUUUUCAUGUCUCACUUUUCCACUGUAAAUUAGAAAAAUAAUUAUUAGCCAAGUAGAUGUUGAUCUUACGCUGUACUAGUAGAGAGUAUAACCACUCAGCAGAUAUUUUCUGUAAAGUCAUACUAUAUUUUAUUCGAGUG